GUCAGCUCGUGUCGUGAGAUGUGGUUAGUCCGCAACGAGCGCAACCCCUAUUGUUAGUUGCCAUCAUUCAGUUGGGCACUCUAGCGAGACUGCCGGUAAUAAACCGGAGGAAGGUGGGGAGUGACGUCAAAUCAUCAUGCCCCUUAUGACCUGGGCUACACACGUGCUACAAUGGUUGGUACAACGAGUUGCGAGUCGGUGACGGCGAGCUAAUCUCUUAAAGCCAAUCUCAGUUCGGAUUGUAGGCUGCAACUCGCCUACAUGAAGUCGGAAUCGCUAGUAAUCGCGGAUCAGCACGCCGCGGUGAAUACGUUCCCGGGCCUU
rnacentral:rRNA from 1 species